rnacentral:rRNA from 1 species
UACAGGGGGGGCAAGCGUUGUUCGGAAUUACUGGGCGUAAAGGGUUCGUAGGUGGCCACUUAAGUCAGACGUGAAAUCCCUCAGCUUAACUGGGGAACUGCGUCUGAUACUGAGUGGCUUGAGUGCAGGAGAGGAAUGCGGAAUUCCAGGUGUAGCGGUGAAAUGCGUAGAUAUCUGGAGGAACACCGGUGGCGAAGGCGGCAUUCUGGACUGUAACUGACACUGAGGAACGAAAGCCAGGGAGCAAACGGGG